GACGAACGCUGGCGGCGUGCUUAACACAUGCAAGUCGAACGGAAAGGCCCUGCUUUUGCGGGGUGCUCGAGUGGCGAACGGGUGAGUAACACGUGAGUAACCUGCCCUUGACUUUGGGAUAACUUCAGGAAACUGGGGCUAAUACCGGAUAGGAGCUCCUGCUGCAUGGUGGGGGUUGGAAAGUUUCGGCGGUUGGGGAUGGACUCGCGGCUUAUCAGCUUGUUGGUGGGUAGUGGCUUACCAAGGCUUUGAAGGGUAGCCGGCCUGAGAGGGUGACCGGGCACAUUGGGACUGAGAUACGGCCCAGACUCCUACGGGAGGCAGCAGUGGGGAGUAUUGCACAAUGGGCGGAAGCCUGAUGCAGCAACGCCGCGUGCGGGAUGACGGCCUUCGGGUUGUAAACCGCUUUCGCCUGUGACGAAGCGUGAGUGACGGUAAUGGGUAAAGAAGCACCGGCUAACUACGUG
rnacentral:rRNA from 1 species